rnacentral:lncRNA from 1 species
CGGGGGGCCGCCGCGGAGCGGAGGAGAGCGCGGCCUGGGCGGGCGCGCAGACAAGCUCCGUGGGGCCGGGCCCCGCGCGCGCAGAAUCUGGCCGGCGGCGGAUUCCGAGCUCGCCGGCCCGGAGCAGCGGCGCCCUCGGGGCGGCUGGACAGGCCCCGCGCCAUGCCCGAGGGCUGAGUGCCGCCGCCGCCGCCGCAGGGCCUCGUCCCGCCUCGCGUGGGACCGCGCGCGCCCAGGU